AGUCGAGCGRAUCUUYGGGAGCUUGCUCCYAAAGRUUAGCGGCGGACGGGUGAGUAACACGUGGGCAACCUACCUUACAGAUGGGGAUAACUCCGGGAAACCGGGGCUAAUACCGAAUAAUCCAUYUMUUCGCAUGAAGAGAUGUUGAAAGACGGUUUCGGCUGUCACUGUGAGAUGGGCCCGCGGCGCAUUAGUUAGUUGGUGGGGUAACGGCCUACCAAGACCACGAUGCGUAGCCGACCUGAGAGGGUGAUCGGCCACACUGGGACUGAGACACGGCCCAGACUCCUACGGGAGGCAGCAGUAGGGAAUCUUCCACAAUGGACGAAAGUCUGAUGGAGCAACGCCGCGUGAGUGAAGAAGGUUUUCGGAUCGUAAAGCUCUGUUGUAAGGGAAGAACACGUACAGGAGUAACUGCCUGUACCUUGACGGUACCUUACCAGAAAGCCACGGCUAACUACGUGCCAGCAGCC
rnacentral:rRNA from 1 species